rnacentral:rRNA from 1 species
GUAGGGAAUCUUGCGCAAUGGGCGAAAGCCUGACGCAGCCAUGCCGCGUGAAUGAUGAAGGUCUUAGGAUUGUAAAAUUCUUUCACCGGGGACGAUAAUGACGGUACCCGGAGAAGAAGCCCCGGCUAACUUCGUGCCAGCAGCCGCGGUAAUACGAAGGGGGCUAGCGUUGCUCGGAAUUACUGGGCGUAAAGGGAGCGUAGGCGGAUAGUUUAGUCAGAGGUGAAAGCCCAGGGCUCAACCUUGGAAUUGCCUUUGAUACUGGCUAUCUUGAGUAUGGAAGAGGUAUGUGGAACUCCGAGUGUAGAGGUGAAAUUCGUAGAUAUUCGGAAGAACACCAGUGGCGAAGGCGACAUACUGGUCCAUUACUGACGCUGAGGCGCGAAAGCGUGGGGAGCAAACAGGAUUAGAAACCCCUGUAGUCC